rnacentral:rRNA from 1 species
UACAGAGGUCUCAAGCGUUGUUCGGAUUCAUUGGGCGUAAAGGGUGCGUAGGCGGCGCGGUAAGUCGGGUGUGAAAUCUCGGGGCUUAACUCCGAAACUGCAUUCGAUACUACCGUGCUUGAGGACUGGAGAGGAGACUGGAAUUUACGGUGUAGCGGUGAAAUGCGUAGAGAUCAUGAGGAAGACCAGUGGCGAAGGCGGGUCUCUGGACAGUUCCUGACACUGAGACACGAAGGCCAGGGGAGCAAACGGG